rnacentral:lncRNA from 1 species
CAAGUCAAUGAAUGUGUUUGUAGAUAGAUGUUUUUGUGUUCUGUUAAAUUGUCCCUUUUAAAAUUGUUAUACGAUGAUGACUGAUGUACCCAUAUUUUGACUAUUUAUUUAUUGUGUCUGUUUAGUUAACGCAUCAAUGUAAAUAUAACAGAAUUUGAUGAGACUGUCAUCAAAGUGAGAGGGUUAGCGCUAUAAAACCAGGUUUAAUCCACCAUUUUCUACAUUUGAAAAUGCCUGUACCAAGUCAGGAAUAUGACAGUUCUUG